rnacentral:lncRNA from 1 species
AUGUCUGUAUUUCAAGAUGUUUAUAACAAAUGUAAUGCGUCUAUGGACUUUUAUAAAUUCAGAGAAUACUCUGAUAAAAAGGAACACAUUGUUAAUACUUGUUUCUCUCGAGAAAGUUAACGAAUAAUUGCGAAGAUAUUAAUAAAUAGUUAAAUACUAAUGGAGAUGAGUGGGAAUAAAAGCAGAGUUAAAGGCAAGACAUUAGAGAAGAGAAAAAGAAGAUGAAAAAUUCCCUCGUCACUAUUAUCUCUCCUGGGCACAAGUGUCCCACUAUAUAAUUUAUGAUUUAUUUAACUUGCCCUAAAUACAAAUAAUUUCAUCUUUUAUUUGUUCGAGGCAACCUGGGUUUUUUUAUUCUUCCAGGAAAAUGUACUACUCCAUAUGUUUUAAUUUUAUUAUACAUUAGACCAAUAAAAAAU